GACGAACGCUGGCGGCGUGCCUAAUACAUGCAAGUCGAGCGAAUGGAUUGAGAGCUUGCUCUUAUGAAGUUAGCGGCGGACGGGUGAGUAACACGUGGGUAACCUGCCCAUAAGACUGGGAUAACUCCGGGAAACCGGGGCUAAUACCGGAUAACAUUUUGAACCGCAUGGUUCGAAAUUGAAAGGCGGCUUCGGCUGUCACUUAUGGAUGGACCCGCGUCGCAUUAGCUAGUUGGUGAGGUAACGGCUCACCAAGGCAACGAUGCGUAGCCAACCUGAGAGGGCGAUCGGACAAAGUGGGACUGAGAAACGGCCCAGCCUCCUACGGGAGGAAGCAGGAGGGAAUCUUCCGCGAUGGACGAAAGUCUGAAGGAGCAACGCCGCGUGAGUGAUGAAGGCUUUCGGGUCGUAAAACUCUGUUGUUAGGGAAGAACAAGUGCUAGUUGAAUAAGCUGGCACCUUGACGGUACCUAACCAGAAAGCCACGGCUAACUACGUGCCAGCCGCCGCGGUAA
rnacentral:rRNA from 1 species